rnacentral:sRNA from 1 species
GUCGUGAGAUGUUGGGUUAAGUCCCGCAACGAGCGCAACCCUUGGGACUAGUUGCCAGCGAGUCAUGUCGGGGACUCUAGUCCGACUGCCGGUGCCAAACCGGAGGAAGGUGGGGACGACGUCAAGUCAUCAUGGUCCUUACGUCCAGGGCUACACACGUGCUACAAUGGGCGGGACAGAGGGCAGCGGUGCCGAAAGGCCGAGCCAAUCCCAGAAACCCGUCCUCAGUUCGGAUUGUCGUCUGCAACUCGACGGCAUGAAGCUGGAAUCGCUAGUAAUCGCGGAUCAGCGAUGCCGCGGUGAAUACGUUCCCGGGCCUUGUACACACCGCCCGUCACGCCAUGGAAGCUGUGAGUGCCCGAAGUCGGUGCCGCAACCCGCAAGGGGGCAAGCCGCCGAAGGCAAGCGCAGUGACUGGGGCGAAGUCGUAACAAGGUAGCCGUAGGGGAACCUGCGGCUGGAUCACCUCCUUAACGGAGCCCGCGAGUAGGCCGACGGCAGUGCAUCGCCUCGUCCGAAAGCAGCUCACGUGUCGCCCGCCUCAAACCCAACGCUCGAUUCAAUUUUCUUUUUUCUUCUGCACGACCCAUCGACAGCGCAUCGUCGCUGUGUCGUCUCCGCUGUUUGACAACUGAUGGUCAACGUGAUCGUGGAACAUGUGUUCGCGAUUGACGCCGGUACCAGGCGAGAGCCGACGUGUCGGUAGCAACUGUGAACACGGAUCAACACACCGUAGUGAAGCAAUUCGCUUAUACAGAAAUUGCUCACUCGUGAUGAUCGCGCGUGCUUUGCUUGAACAGAUAAUUGAGUCAAGCGAACGAAGGCAUGUGGAGGAUGCCUGGGCACAUGGAGGCGACGAAGGCCGUGGUAAGCUGCGAUAAGCUCGGGGGAGCGGCACACACGCAUUGAUCCCGAGAUGG